rnacentral:rRNA from 1 species
GACGAACGCUGGCGGCGUGCUUAACACAUGCAAGUCGAGCGGGAAACUUCGGUUUCCAGCGGCGGACGGGUGAGUAACACGUGGGCAACCUGCCUCACAAUGAGGGAUAGCCUUCCGAAAGGAAGAUUAAUACCUCAUAACACAAGAGAAACACAUGUUUCUCUUGUCAAAGAAUUUCGUUGUGAGAUGGGCCCGCGGCGCAUUAGCUUGUUGGUGAGGUAAAGGUUCACCAAGGCUGCGAUGCGUAGCCGACCUGAGAGGGUGAUCGGCCACAUUGGAACUGAGACACGGUCCAGACUCCUACGGGAGGCAGCAGUGGGGAAUAUUGCACAAUGGAGGAAACUCUGAUGCAGCAACGCCGCGUGAGUGAUGAAGGUCUUCGGAUUGUAAAGCUCUGUCUUCUGGGACGAUAAUGACGGUACCAGAGGAGGAAGCCACGGCUAACUACGUGCCAGCCGCCGCAGUAA